rnacentral:rRNA from 1 species
UACGGAGGGUGCAAGCGUUAUCCGGCUUCACUGGGUUUAAAGGGGGCGUAGGAGGGCAGGUAAGUCAGUGGUGAAAUCUUCGAGCUUAACUCGGAAACUGCCGUUGAUACUAUCUGUCUUGAAUACCGUGGAGGUGAGCGGAAUAUGUCAUGUAGCGGUGAAAUGCUUAGAUAUGACAUAGAACACCAAUUGCGAAGGCAGCUCGCUACACGAAUAUUGACUCUGAGGCACGAAAGCGUGGGGAUCAAACAGG